rnacentral:rRNA from 1 species
CGGAGGGUGCGAGCGUUGUCCGGAAUCAUUGGGCGUAAAGGGCGCGUAGGUGGCCCGGUCAGUCCGUGGUGAAAGCGCGGGGGCUCAACCCCGCGUCGGCCAGGGAUACUGCGGGGCUGGAGCACUGUAGAGGCAGGCGGAAUUCCGGGUGUAGCGGUGGAAUGCGUAGAGAUCCGGAAGAACACCGGUGGCGAAGGCGGCCUGCUGGGCAGUGGCUGACACUGAGGCGCGACAGCGUGGGGAGCAAACAGGAUUAGAUACCCUGGUAGUCCACGCCGUAAACGAUGGGCACUAGGCGCUUGGGGGAGCGACCCCCCGAGGGCCGGCGCUAACGCAUUAAGUGCCCCGCCUGGGGAGUACGGCCGCAAGGCUG